rnacentral:rRNA from 1 species
UCCGUAGGUGAACCUGCGGAGGGAUCAUUAAAGAGUUGCAAAACUCCCAAACCAUUGUGAACAUACCUUCAACGUUGCUUCGGCGGGUUGGCCCCGGUCUCCGGGGUCCCCGGCCCUACUCGGGCGCCCGCCGGAGGUAUCUAACUCUUGAACUUUUAUGGCCUCUCUGAGUCUUUGUACUUAAUAAGUCAAAACUUUCAACAACGGAUCUCUUGGUUCUGGCAUCGAUGAAGAACGCAGCGAAAUGCGAUAAGUAAUGUGAAUUGCAGAAUUCAGUGAAUCAUCGAAUCUUUGAACGCACAUUGCGCCCGCCAGUAUUCUGGCGGGCAUGCCUGUUCGAGCGUCAUUUCAACCAUCAAGCCCCCGGCUUGUGUUGGGGACCUGCGGCUGCCGCAGGCCCUGAAAACCAGUGGCGGGCUCGCUAGUCACUCCGAGCGUAGUAAUACAUCUCGCUCAGGGCGUGCUGCGGGUUCCGGCCGUUAAAAAGCCUUAUUUACCCAAGGUUGACCUCGGAUCAGGUAGGAAGACCCGCUGAACUUAAGCAUAUCAAUAAGCGGAGGA